GGCGAACGCUGGCGGCGUGCCUAAUACAUGCAAGUUGAGCGCUGAAGGUUGGUACUUGUACCAACUGGAUGAGCAGCGAACGGGUGAGUAACGCGUGGGGAAUCUGCCUUUGAGCGGGGGACAACAUUUGGAAACGAAUGCUAAUACCGCAUAAAAACUUUAAACACAAGUUUUAAGUUUGAAAGAUGCAAUUGCAUCACUCAAAGAUGAUCCCGCGUUGUAUUAGCUAGUUGGUGAGGUAAAGGCUCACCAAGGCGAUGAUACAUAGCCGACCUGAGAGGGUGAUCGGCCACAUUGGGACUGAGACACGGCCCAAACUCCUACGGGAGGCAGCAGUAGGGAAUCUUCGGCAAUGGACGAAGGUCUGACCGAGCAACGCCGCGUGAGUGAAGAAGGUUUUCGGAUCGUAAAACUCUGUUGGUAGAGAAGAACGUUGGUGAGAGUGGAAAGCUCAUCAAGUGACGGUAACUACCCAGAAAGGGACGGCUAACUACGUG
rnacentral:rRNA from 1 species